AUAAUUUAAAUUAUCACUCUAUAUUAUUAUUAGUGUUCUUUAAAUUAAAAAGGUUUGGCGGUGUUUAAGACUUAUUAGAGGAACUUGCAACUUAAUCGAUAAUCCCCGAAGAUCUCUCCUUAUCUUGUAUUUCAGCUUAUAUACCGUCGUCUUCAGAUUACAUUUUAAGGUGUUUUUGUGAAAAUUUUCUUAAGUCAGAUCAAGGUGUAGCUUAUGAUGGGGUUGUUGUGAUUUACAAUAAUAUUAAUUAAAUGAAUCUUAUUUUGAAUAUAAAUAAGUGAAGGUGGAUUUAAUUGUAAAAAAACAUUAUUAGAGCUUUUUGAAUUAGCUCUUAUACAUGU
rnacentral:rRNA from 1 species